UGGAGCUGCUGUGCUGUGUCUGGCGGGGUCGGAUGGGCGUCCAUGCGGGAGGUUGGAUGCAGGAUCUACAAGGUCGAGCACAGGAUUGUGGGGCCAUGUUCCUGUUGAAGACCCUAGGUUCAGAUCCAUCAUGAUCUUGAAGUAAGGAGGCCAGGUCUGGAAGUCCCUAUAUUGGCCACCUGUUGGAUUGUAGGGUCUGGAAUCUCAUCUUCACGCUGGGGAAAGAAAACCCCCUGCCAUCAGCUGCCUCCCAGGCCCGGACCAGCCUAGCUGCCGUUGCUCCAUGUCACACGUGUCUCCGAGAUCCUGUCCUGUCUCCUGUCUCCAGUCAUCAUGGCGUCCCGACUCAGCUCUCCAUUGAAGCUGAAUUGGCUUGUUGGUAUUGUUUUUG